GAAAGUGGGGAAAAGGAAAGAUUAAUGGAGCUUUUGAGGGAAAGGCUUGUUGAGUCUGGGUGGAAGGAUGAAAUGAAAGCUCUUUGUAGGGAGUAUAUAAAGAAGAAAGGACGGAACAAUAUAACCAUUGACGACCUUGUACAUGUGAUUACCCCAAAAGGCAGAGCUUCAAUUCCUGAUCCGAUCAAAGCUGAGCUGCUUCAGAGAAUUCGUACAUUUCUUGUUUCUCCCACUCUCUGAUUCAACAGUUUCAUGCAUGAAGAGGGUAGCAAUAUAGGUGAAGAUGUGGCAUUAUGUUUGACUCAUUUCAUCUUGGAACAUCGUUUGUCUAGAUUAUGACCACGAUGAGGAAACCAGGAGCCAUAUGAGAAGAUGUGCUAUCGGCAGUUUGCUUGUACCAAGUUUCGUAGAACUGUAUAAAUUGCUACUUGGUGGUUUUAUGUUGAUGGCCCAGGUUCAGAGUUUGAUCACUACAUGACCCUCACCUUUUAGUGGCUAAACUAUCUGUUAUCUGGUUGUCCCUAGUUUUAAGAAAGUGUAGUUUUAUUGAGAUGCCUGCUCCUCAGCAGAAUCCCUGCUCUUCUUUUGUGUGUACUUUACUCAUGUGUUCUUCGUAUUAGUGAAAGCCAG
rnacentral:misc_RNA from 1 species